rnacentral:misc_RNA from 1 species
GAGAGGGCACAAACAGCUGAUCCUGUAAGUGUACAUUUUGAGAUAGUUCAUAAUGCUGUACAGGAAAAUUCACCAAUCUAUGUCAUUAUUUUCAGCUAUUUUUCCUUGGAUUCCCCUUCCUCCCAACCUUCUUUUUGUACUCUCCUAUUGAGUUAUUGAAGGAUAAUUAUAUUGAAUGUGAACUCGAUUAUAUUUGUUUGGAUUUUUUUACUUCUUUUAUUAAGAGUCUAAAUAGUCAUAUCACAACUUUCAGCUUUG